AGGGCUAGCCGCAAAAUAAGCUAACUUCAAAAUGGGCAGAAACUACUAACUUUUUCAAGCAAGACGGAGAGAGGUAUGAUUGAAAUGAAGUUCAAUCUCGACCUCGACGGAAGGGAUUGGUUCGAGCAGGCUCUCACGCAGUAUAUCGAACCGGGUUUAGCAUCUUUUCACUAGGCAAGGAAGAGAUAGAGUAGCAAAAAGAGUAACGAGCAGAGCCAUUGAAU